rnacentral:rRNA from 1 species
CCUACGGGUGGCCGCAGUGAGGAAUAUUGGUCAAUGGACGCAAGCCUGAACCAGCCAUGUCGCGUGAAGGAAGACGGCCCUAUGAGUUGUAAACCGCUUUUGUACGAGAGCAAAGGCAGACACGUGUAUCUGUAAGAAAGUUACCCGAGAAAAAGGAAUCGGCUACUUCGUGCCAGGAGCCGGGGGAAAUCGGAGGAUUUAAGGGUUUAUCGGAAUUAAUGGGUUUUAAGGGUUGGUAGGGGGGAAGGUAAAGUAGGGGGUAAAUUGUGGGGGUCAAAACCGGGCUUGCCGUUGAUACUGUUCGUCUAGAGAGUGCGAGAGGUAGGCGGAAUGUGUGGUGUAGCGGUGAAAUGCAUAGAGAUCAUGCAGAACACCGAUUGCGAAGGCAGCAUACCGGCCUUCAACUGACGUUGAGGCACGAAAGCGUGGGGAGCGAACAGGAUUAGAUACCCCUGUAGUC